AGAGUUUGAUCCUGGCUCAGGACGAACGCUGGCGGUGUGCUUCACACAUGCAAGUCGAGCGAAUGAAGAAGGUAGCUUGCUACUUUCGGAUUUAGCGGCGGACGGGUGAGUAAUAUAUAGGAAUCUGCCCUAGAGCGGGGAACAACAGACCGAAAGGUUUGCUAAUGCCCCAUAGGUACGCAGUCUUCGGAUUGUUUAUUAAAGGAGUAAUCCACUCUAGGAUGAGCCUGUAUCCGAUUAGCUAGUUGGCGGGGUAAAGGCCCACCAAGGCUACGAUCGGUAGUUGGUCUGAGAGGAUGAUCAGCCACAAUGGGACUGAGACACGGCCCAUACUCCUACGGGAGGCAGCAGUGGGGAAUUUUACACAAUGGGGGAAACCCUGAUGUAGCGACACCGCGUGAACGAAGAAGCCUUUUGGGGUGUAAAGUUCUGUCGGCUGGAACGAAAAAAAUGACGGUACCAGCAAAGGAAGCAUCGGCUAACUACGUGCCAGCAGCCGCGGUAAGACGUAGGAUGCAAGCGUUGUCCGGAUUUAUUGGGCGUAAAGAGUUCGUAGGCGGUUAUUUAAGUCUGGUGUUAAAUACUGUGGCCCAACCACAGAACUGCAUUGGAUACUGGAUGACUUGAGUGCGGUAGAGGCGAGUGGAAUUCCCAGUGUAGCGGUGAAAUGCGUAGA
rnacentral:rRNA from 1 species